rnacentral:rRNA from 1 species
UACAGAGGUCCCGAGCGUUGUUCGGAUUCAUUGGGCGUAAAGGGUGCGUAGGCGGUCUUCUAAGUUUGAUGUGAAAUCCCCGGGCUCAACCCGGGAACUGCGUCCGAUACUGACAGGCUUGAAUCCGGGAGAGGGAUGUGGAAUUCCAGGUGUAGCGGUGAAAUGCGUAGAUAUCUGGAGGAACACCGGGUGGCGAAGGCGGCAUCCUGGACCGGUAUUGACGCUGAUGCGCGAAAGCCAGGGGAGCAAACGGG